ACCACAAAUACGAAAUUACCUCAUAUAAUCCUUGGGAAUAUGGCCCAAAAGUUUCUACCUAAUAACCGUAAAUUAUUAGACUAUGAGGGGAAGUUCGGCAUUC
rfam:Bacillus alcalophilus ATCC 27647 = CGMCC 1.3604 strain AV1934 contig00042, whole genome shotgun sequence.